GAUGAACGCUGGCGGCGUGCCUAAUACAUGCAAGUCGAGCGAACGGACGAGAAGCUUGCUUCUCUGAUGUUAACGGCGGACGGGUGAGUAACACGUGGAUAACCUACCUAUAAGACUGGGAUAACUUCGGGAAACCGUAGCUAAUACCGGAUAAUAUUUUGAACCGCAUGGUUCAAAAGUGAAAGACGGUCUUGCUGUCACUUAUAUAUGGAUCCGCGCUGCAUUAGCUAGUUGGUAAGGUAACGGCUUACCAAGGCAACGAUGCAUAGCCGACCUGAGAGGGUGAUCGGCCACACUGGAACUGAGACACGGUCCAGACUCCUACGGGAGGCAGCAGUAGGGAAUCUUCCGCAAUGGGCGAAAGCCUGACGGAGCAACGCCGCGUGAGUGAUGAAGGUCUUCGGAUCGUAAAACUCUGUUAUUAGGGAAGAACAUAUGUGUAAGUAACUGUGCACAUCUUGACGGUACCUAAUCAGAAAGCCACGGCUAACUACGUG
rnacentral:rRNA from 1 species